ACACUUUAAAAGCAACCACACUUAUACACAUUGCAAAUCAUAGUGCAAAUAUAUACAAGGCGAAUUGUUAAAUCUGGUUUUAAACCACCGGUUCAUAAAACAAAGUCUGCAGAAAGAAAUCAACUUCCAUCAAAAGAGAAUUGUCCUAUGACUAACUAGUCCAAUAGGAUCGUCAAUUUUUUAGGCUUCACCUUCUACAUUCGGGCCUCCGGUCCUUCACCACAGCCAUCUAAGGACCUGAAAAUUAUUAUUCAAUAACCAGUGAGACUACGUCUCAGCGAGUUCUACUCCCUAAGACCCGAUUAGGAAGCCAAUACACUCUAGAGACUGCCUAAACACAACACGAAUCAAAGGACUUACCUUGGCCUCAAUUCCUUCUUGCAAGUCAGUAUAUAUCAGAUAUAUAGGAACCACAUCAAUUCACAGCACCAGAUCAAAUCAUUGAUCAAUCGACCUAGUCGAUUACAUGUCAACAUGACCAUUCUCCGAUCAUCUCAACCAAUACUAUCUAUGAGUCUGACCAUAGUCCAGGACUGCUCACUCUACACCAAUAAUAGAUAGUAUAGCUCGCUAAAAGCUGCCUCAAUUACUAAGAUAAUAUACUAUAUAUAUAUAUAUAUAUAUAUGCUCGCUGAGAGCUACCUCAAUUUUUGAUCUAGUAUAUUAUAUAUGCUCGCCAAAAGUUGCUAGAUUCAUUAAUCUGCUAUUUUAUAUAUAUAUGCUCACCAGAAGCUGCUAGCCAUACUUUUAUAGUAUGCUGAUAAAUGUAUAUAUACUCGCUAGAAGCUGCCAGCCAUACUUUUAUAGUGUGCUGAUAAAUGUAUAUAUGCUCGCUAGAAGCUACCAACCAUACUUUCCUAGUAUGCUGAUAAAUGUAUAUAUGCUCGCCAGAAGCUGCCAGAUCCAUUGAUCCGCUAAUCUAAUAUGCUCGCCAGAAGCUGCCAGCCAUACUUUCAUAGUAUGCUAAUAAAUGAUCAUUUAAUCAAUUCACCAUUUUUAUCAUUCCUGAUAAAAAUACCCGUUCGUUGGUACACGGUUAGCCUUAACCAAAAUAUAAGAUUUUCACUUUUGAACCUCCCACUUUUUUCAGUAGUCCCAAAAAUAGAUUUUUGGCGCGGUAGAUCGACGCCCGGUAAUUUUUCACUUAAUUACCAAAUUUAAUUAAAUUUCUGAAAUCAAUACCCACAACCACUAAAUUCACUCAAUUUGCAUAAUCAGGCACUCAAUUAAAUAAACAUAGAGUAUCACUGAAAUCAGCACGAAAUUCCGAUCGUCGGCUAUCCCAGCCUAAUUUCUGGAAAUUAAUUAAUUAAUUAAAUAAUUACGGAAAAUAAUAAAUAAAUGCAAUAAAUCCAAUUUAGGCCUGUAAUGACUAAUUGGAAGCCGAGACGAGCCCAAAAAAUUACCGAGACUCGUUCAAUAAAUAUUAUGACCUAUUUCCUUGCUAACUACACUAACCAAAAGCCUAACAUGCAUCAUUAAGACACUAAUUUAAUUACUCUAAUCUAAUAUAUUCACCUAAUUGCGCUUAAUUAAAAUCUAAUCAACCCCUAAGCAUCAAUAGCAUACUAAUAAGGGAUUAGUGAGUAAAACUCACUUGUUUAACGAGCUGGUCGGAUCAAACCAACAGGAAUGUCUCGGGGGACGUUUCUUCUCAAAGCAGGCCUAGGUUUCAAGGCCCGGAACACCUCCAAAACGGGCCCGACACCUUGCUGGAAACCCACUGCUUUCCCCGUCUGAUUUGAGCUGCAAACAAGGGAAAUGAAGCUAGUUUAGCGAGGGAAUGAAGACGGUGGAUUGGUGGAUGGCUUGGAGAGGUAACCGACGGCCGAACGGCGAAGAAACGGGUUAAUCGGAGCUCCGGCGAGUGGGUGGUCGGCAAUCGGUAGCUCCCGGGGGUCUUGGGGAUCUUGUAGGUUGAUGGAACAGCCAAAGGAAGGGUCGGAAUGGGAGAAAAACGAAGAAAAUCGCGAAACAGUGCAGGCGGGCAGGGGACCGACGGACCGGUGACUGGCGGCUUGAGACGGCCGUACAGGACGGCCGGCAGCUUCGUUCGGGGCGAGGUCAGGCUUAAUGGAACGGUCUGGAUGUCCUCUUCACAACGAUGGGUGUCUCGUUUACUGAUUUAUCCGGGAAGUUGACUUUUUACUCGGAUCUUUGGCAAAAGGUCAGCUGGAGCAGAAACCAGUAGAAGUGAAAACAAAGGAGGAAAACGGUCCAGCAGUGGUGUGGCUGCUGGUGGGGUUCAGGACGGCCAUUUCGCGGAUAAUGUCUGAACAAGGUGAGAGGAGGGAGAUGGAGAGGGUUUU
rnacentral:lncRNA from 1 species